AUUGAACGCUGGCGGCAGGCUUAACACAUGCAAGUCGAGCGAGCGGCGGACGGGUGAGUAAUGUCUGGGAAACUGCCUGAGGGAGGGGGAUAACGACUGGAAACGGUAGCUAAUACCGCAUACCAUCAGAUGUGCCCAGAUGGGAUUAGCUAGUAGGUGGGGUCAUGGCUCACCUAGGCGACGAUCCCUAGCUGGUCUGAGAGGAUGACCAGCCACACGGGAACUGAUACACGGUCCAGACUCCUACGGGAGGCAGGAGUGGGGAAUAUUCGACAAUGGGCGCAAGCCUGAUGCACCCAUGCCGCGUGUGUGAAGAAGGCCUUCGGAUUGUAAAGCACUUUCAUCGAGGAGGCGUUACUCGCAGAGGAAGCACCGGCUAAGUCCGUGCCAGCAGCCGCGGUAAUUC
rnacentral:rRNA from 1 species